GCCCCACACUGUCCUGUUCACCCUCCUCACCCUCACCCUCCUGCCCAGCUCUCUGGGGAGAUACAUUUGGGAUUUAGAGGCAGCCCCAACACGUACCCAGCCCCUGUCCCUAUCCCUGCCUGUCCUUGCAGAGCUGGGGCCAGGCUGAGCUACCCAGCCCAGCCCUGUUCUGCCACCACACUGGGGACAAACAGAAACAACUCUGAGGAUGUGGGCACACAGCUCUGGGGACAGGGGCACACAGCUCUGGAGGCUGGGGACCAGGGCACACAGCUCUGGAGGCUGGGGACACGGGCACACAGCUCUGGGGACACGGGCACACAGCUCUGGAGGCUGGGGACACCUCUUGGCCUGCACCCAGACACAGCCUGGCCAUGUUCCCACCCGUGGCCACGCAGCAAGGGGGGACGAGGACACGUCCAUGUCUCCCAGCCCAAGGUGCAGUGCUGCAUCUCUGGUCAAUUGGGAGUCUGAGAUGAAGCACUGUAGCUCGGGAAGGGAGGAACUGCUCACCCUGGGGACCCCCCCCCAGCCGCUGGGACAAGUGACACAAGGAGAGCUCAGCCCUGGCUGCUCACCCCAAAGCUCCCAGCUUAGAUCCAGCAGGGAUAGGAGGGUGGGGAGGUUUUGCCUUGCAGCAGAGGGACCCCUGUGUCUGCUCAGGACCCUCAGCCUGGCACUGGGCACCAGUGGGAGGGGUCCCACAGAGAUGGGAGGGAUGGGGGCACAGCAGGGACACGGAGGUGGCUCCCCCCAUGAGCCACACGCGGAGCCUGGACAGCGGUGAGGACUGGCACAGAGCCCGGGUUGCCGUGUCCUCAGGGUCCAGUUUUCCCAGGAAUCCCUUAGGCACUAGGUUGGGGAUUCCUGGAAAUACUGUUCUUGGGGCCACGGCUCGGCAGCCCAUCCCGAGGGAGCCACAGCCUGCAGAAGAGCCAGGAAUGGAGGUACAGGGCCACGGGGAGGGCUGGGAGAGGGAGGGGGAGCCCCUGGAGAUCCCACAGCGGGGUGAUGGAUGUCCCUGUGGGUCACCACUCGCUGCCAGGGGAUGUGGCUCGUGUGGCCUCACACUGCUCCUGCCCUGCUCAGGCUACCCGGGGUCAAUAAAGGUCUCCACUCCCCCAGUGA